UGGGGAAUAUUGGACAAUGGGCGCAAGCCUGAUCCAGCAAUGCCGCGUGUGUGAAGAAGGCCUGCGGGUUGUAAAGCACUUUCAGUGGGGAAGAAAAGCCAAAGGUUAAUAACCUCUAGUCUUGACGUUACCCAAAGAAGAAGCACCGGCUAACUCCGUGCCAGCAGCCGCGGUAAUACGGAGGGUGCAAGCGUUAAUCGGAAUUACUGGGCGUAAAGCGCGCGUAGGCGGUUAGAUCAGUCGGGUGUGAAAGCCCCGGGCUUAACCUGGGAACUGCAUUCGAUACUGUCUAGCUAGAGUAUGGUAGAGGGAAGUGGAAUUCCGGGUGUAGCGGUGAAAUGCGUAGAUAUCCGGAGGAACAUCAGUGGCGAAGGCGACUUCCUGGACCAAUACUGACGCUAAAGCGCGAAAGCGUGGGGAGCAAACAGG
rnacentral:rRNA from 1 species